rnacentral:rRNA from 1 species
UACGAAGGGGGCUAGCGUUGCUCGGAAUCACUGGGCGUAAAGGGUGCGUAGGCGGGUCUUUAAGUCAGGGGUGAAAUCCUGGAGCUCAACUCCAGAACUGCCUUUGAUACUGAGGAUCUUGAGUCCGGGAGAGGUGAGUGGAACUGCGAGUGUAGAGGUGAAAUUCGUAGAUAUCAGGAAGAACACCCGUGGCGAAGGCGGCUCUCUGGGACGGUACUGACGCUGAGACGCGAAAGCGUGGGGAGCGAACAGG